rnacentral:rRNA from 1 species
UACGGAGGGUGCAAGCAUUGAUCGGAAUUACUGGGCGUAAAGGGCGCGUAGGCGGCCGUAAAAGUCAGAUGUGAAAUUCCGGGGCUCAACCCCGGAGCGGCAUUUGAAACUCUACGGCUAGAGGUUAACAAGGGAAAACGGAAUUCCACGUGUAGCGGUGAAAUGCGUAGAUAUGUGGAAGAACACCGGUGGUGAAGACGGUUUUCUGUGUUAAACCUGACGCUGAGGCGCGAAAGCUAGGGGAGCAAACAGG